rnacentral:rRNA from 1 species
CGGGACACGUGGUAUCCUGUCUGAAUAUGGGGGGACCAUCCUCCAAGGCUAAAUACUCCUGACUGACCGAUAGUGAACCAGUACCGUGAGGGAAAGGCGAAAAGAACCCCGGCGAGGGGAGUGAAAAAGAACCUGAAACCGUGUACGUACAAGCAGUGGGAGCACGCUUAGGCGUGUGACUGCGUACCUUUUGUAUAAUGGGUCAGCGACUUAUAUUCUGUAGCAAGGUUAACCGAAUAGGGGAGCCGAAGGGAAACCGAGUCUUAACUGGGCGUUAAGUUGCAGGGUAUAGACCCGAAACCCGGUGAUCUAGCCAUGGGCAGGUUGAAGGUUGGGUAACACUAACUGGAGGACCGAACCGACUAAUGUUGAAAAAUUAGCGGAUGACUUGUGGCUGGGGGUGAAAGGCCAAUCAAACCGGGAGAUAGCUGGUUCUCCCCGAAAGCUAUUUAGGUAGCGCCUCGUGAAUUCAUCUCCGGGGGUAGAGCACUGUUUCGGCAAGGGGGUCAUCCCGACUUACCAACCCGAUGCAAACUGCGAAUACCGGAGAAUGUUAUCACGGGAGACACACGGCGGGUGCUAACGUCCGUCGUGAAGAGGGAAACAACCCAGACCGCCAGCUAAGGUCCCAAAGUCAUGGUUAAGUGGGAAACGAUGUGGGAAGGCCCAGACAGCCAGGAUGUUGGCUUAGAAGCAGCCAUCAUUUAAAGAAAGCGUAAUAGCUCACUGGUCGAGUCGGCCUGCGCGGAAGAUGUAACGGGGCUAAACCAUGCACCGAAGCUGCGGCAGCGACGCUGAUGCGUUGUUGGGUAG